rnacentral:antisense_RNA from 1 species
AUCAGGAGAACAGGGUACAACAGCUGGUGAGAGUUUUGCUUCUGAUAUAGACAAUGCCUGCAGAGCAAACCAUUACAGCUAAGAGAGAUCUUUAAGUGAAAGAAAAGGAGAAGGCUCCAUCUCAGCUUAUUAGAAGACUUGAAUUUGUCUAAUGUCUUGGCUGGGAAAAGCAGCUCAGUUCUCUCUGAAAAGGAAAACCCAAGACAGAAAGCAUGGAUGUGGAAGAAGGCUGGAGUGCAGUGGCGCGAUCUCGGCUCACUGCAAGCUCUGCCUCCCGGGUUCACGCCAUUCUCCUGCCUCAGCCUCCCGAGUAGCUGGGACUAGAGGCGCCCACCACCACAUCCGGCUAAUUGCUUUUAGCACUUUUUUGGGAGAGGAACAGAUGACAAUGCAUUGCCAGGCCUUCAAUACAAAAGGUAUUAGACUCAAGAUUCUACAAGAUUCUGUUUGUGCCAGACACUGAUCAGCAGUGCAAAUAUAAAAUGAAUACAAACAGAUCACGCAUCAGAAUGCCAAUCACUUCCUAGUAACACUGAUCAAAAUUUGCAUUAAAUCAACAGAUCUUUCUUUUAAGAGGGGUGUGGCAACAGUAAAGCUUUCUACAUGUUAAACAGAAUGAACAAAACCAACGCAGAGCAGUGACUUUCUGUCAGAGAGAGCAGAAGGAGACCCUUAUAGAACAGCUGUUCCACUGCUCCAAAGGCCUCGUGUGGUUCUAUCCCUUGGACUGCCUUUCUUCAACAGCCCAGACACCUGCUCUGUCAGAUUUAUAAGCCACACCCCCUAGAACCAUGCCAAUCAAAGCAUGGC